GGGGAUUUAGCUCAGUGGCAUAAAGUGCCUGCCUUGCAAGCAUGCAGUCAUGAGUUUGGUUCAAUCCCCA
rnacentral:tRNA from 1 species